UUUAUAAUAGCCAAAUAACUAUUGCUGGCUGCUUCUGGCAGAGUGAUCUUGGUAGCAGCAGACAGCACACGUACAUCUGUCUUAACGAAAUGGCAUCAUGUGGCAGGCACAGAAGCGAUGGCAGGAGAAGAUGAAGGGCCUGCUGGAGGAGUGAACACAUCCCACAUUUCUUUAUCCAUGAUUAGAAUCAGGACCGGCACUUGGUACUCAGUAAGCGCCAAGAUUUUCUUGGACAAAUUCAAGGUCUUCUCUCAAUUGUGGUCGGAACUGGACAUUCCCACGAGGACAGUUUCCACUUCCAGUAAUGGCUGAGGAGGUCCUAUUGCAAAUAAUAAUGAGAAACUCUGGACCAAGUAUUUUAGAACCACCACCUGAAAGUAUUGGAGAGUAAGUAAGAGCAGGCCCAGGGCAAGGCCAGGGCUGAGCCCCAGGAGUCCAGGCAGAAUCCAAGGGAUUUCCCUUUUAAGUCUGCAGAAUGUGGGGACUGUCACAUUGAGGCCAUGUUUUCUCCAGGCCAGCUGACCCGCGGGGACAUGUGCCAUUUCAGGCUGCACGGCUUUGACUGAAUGGGGGCAGCAUCCAGUUGGGAUCUGAUAUCAUCCCCGCAGCCAGCCAGGGGACUGUCAAUGCUGCUCUGUGCCAAGCUGCUCCAUGCUCACACCGCGUUGCAACCCUGCCUGCGAGAUUCACAGAAAAGGCUUUUCCCUCUUUCCCUGAGCUGCCAAUCACCUGAACAAUCACCUUCUAAAACUUGUGAAACCACCCACUGGGUGUCAGGAGCUGAAACUCCCAACCCUCCCAUUAAGCUAGGAUGGAAAGAUUUCUAAUCAGGCCACUGGAGCUCUAGCUCUGUCCUGGCUUAUCUGGAUCCUGACUGAAAGUGAAGGGAAUGGAAGUUUGUGCUGAGCCAACUGAGAUGCAUGAGCAGGAAUGGGAUAUGGCCUUGGCUCAGACCCAGUAAAUAAGUUUCAAAUUGUGUGCCAUUUCACAGCUUGAAUGAGAGCCAGAGCUCUGACAGCUCUAGUGAUGAGGUGGGGAGAUGGAGGAGGACCAUGGCCUGUGAUUGAUGAGGUAGAAGCAGCAGUAGCAGAACUCUGAAUGGGCACAGCAAAAUCCUAAACUCUAUUCAACAUGGCCUUCCACCUCUGAGGUGUCUUUAUUCCUACUUCAUGUACAGUUAUCCAGAGCAACAGGAUGAUCCUUUCAACCCAGGACUAACUUAACAUUGAACGCCAUGAGAUUUUGUUAUUUUAAAAAAAUGUUAUUGAUGUGUAACAUAUAUACAUAAAAAGACAAAUCAUAGUCAGCUCUAUUAAUUUUUUAAAUUGAAAAAUGUUUAUUGAUGCAUAAUAAAUAUACAUAAUUUGGGGG
rnacentral:lncRNA from 10 species